rnacentral:rRNA from 1 species
UUGAAAGGGAAACGAUUGAAGUCAGUCGUACCGUCGGGAAUUCACUUUUUGAGCGCUUGUCGUGGGUGACGUUGAGCUUCGCGGCCUUCGUUGCUUUGCGUUAUGGUGCUUUUAGGGUGUACUUUUCCGUAUGGUAGGUCAAUAUCGAUUUUGAUCGUCAUAAAAUGAUCGGAGGAACGUGGCUUCGAUCUCGUAUCGGAGUGUUAUAGCCUUUGGUAGAUGUGACGAUUGGGAUCGAGGAUUGCAACGAAUACCCUUUGGGCUAUCCGUCUGACCUCUGAAAAUCGCUCGGGUGUCGAAAGCGUGCUUAUGACAUUCUAGUUGGCGGUCAAAAGGUUAGAACGCGAUUACAUUCGUUAAGGAUGUUGACGUA